rnacentral:tRNA from 1 species
UCCUCGGUAGCUCAGCGGUAGAGCGUCCGGCUGUUAACCGGGUGGUCGCAGGUUCGAAUCCUGCCCGGGGAGCCA